GUGCUCGCUUCAGUAGCACAUAUACUAAAAAUUGGAACGAUACAGAGAAGAUUAGCAUGGACCCUGCGCAAGGAUGACACGCCAAUCCAUUAAGUGUUCCAUAUAUAU